rnacentral:rRNA from 1 species
UAGGGAAUCUUCCACAAUGGGCGAAAGCCUGAUGGAGCAACGCCGCGUGAGUGAUGAAGGGUUUCGGCUCGUAAAACACUGUUGUAAGAGAAGAAUGACAUUGAGAGUAACUGUUCAAUGUGUGACGGUAUCUUACCAGAAAGGAACGGCUAAAUACGUGCCAA